UGUAAGUCGAGGUGAGGAGUAGUCAUUUGGGUUAAUGUUAAGCAUAGAAGGGACGUUAGAUUGUAAUAUCGUGGCUUUCUCUUUUUAAAGGGAGGGCUAAAGAAUAUUGUAUAAGUAUUAACAUGCUUAUGGUAUUUAUUGGAAUAUGACCUAUAUUGAUGAUGGAAGUAUCGAGGAGCGUAGAGGUAAUGAUGAAAAGGCAGGAGAGCAAAGCAUUACUGCAGAGGGAUAGGCAGACGCUUAGGACCUUCCCUAACGAGGACAGUUAUGUUACGAAUGAUGGGUUAUGUUAUGUAUAGAUAUUUUAUUUUGGGAUGGACUCUGAGAGUCUCUUAAGAAUGAAUGUUCGAAUAAAAUGUCCAUUAGGUGUUCCCUUUUAUUAAAUGAAAAAUUUAGUGUGCA